GACGAACGCUGGCGGCGUGCUUAACACAUGCAAGUCGAACGGAAAGGCCCUGCUUUUGUGGGGUGCUCGAGUGGCGAACGGGUGAGUAACACGUGAGUAACCUGCCCUUGACUUUGGGAUAACUUCAGGAAACUGGGGCUAAUACCGGAUAGGAGCUCCUGCUGCAUGGUGGGGGUUGGAAAGUUUCGGCGGUUGGGGAUGGACUCGCGGCUUAUCAGCUUGUUGGUGGGGUAGUGGCUUACCAAGGCUUUGACGGGUAGCCGGCCUGAGAGGGUGACCGGGGACAUUGGGACUGAGAUACGGCCCAGACUCCUACGGUAGGCAGCAGUGGGGAAUAUUGCACAAUGGGCGGGAGCCUGAUGCAGAAGCGCCGCGUGCGUGAUGACGGCCUUCGGGGUGUAAACCGCUUUCGCCUGUGACGAAGCGGGAGUGACGGUAAUGGGUAAAGAAGCACCGGCUAACUACGUG
rnacentral:rRNA from 1 species